rnacentral:lncRNA from 1 species
CUUUACGCGACCUAGUGUUUGCCAGGGCCACAAAACUUGUCUUUUUCUCCACUGCAGCUUUUGCAAACUGGUUAUUCGUCCCUUUGGUGCUCACGUACAGCGAGACCCGAAAGGGCCGGGUGCCAGCGUGUGCUUGUUGGUUUCGUCGUGUGAAAGAUGAGAGGAAGAAGAAAGGGGCAGGGAGGAGCGUGACAGCGCCCGUGCGAUCCAGCGGGGCCCGGCUUUAUUUCCGCGUGUUCGGGGAAGAGGUCAAUGGCGGUCUUCCCGUUUGUCCCACCGGCAACAUGAGAGGUCCCAGGUUUGGAAAAAGGAUGCUUUUUUUUAUCAACUGCGGCAAGGCCAGCAGCAGCGGCAACAGUCCCACGGACGGUCUGGCUGCGCUGUCGAGUUGA